rnacentral:lncRNA from 1 species
UAUAUAUAUAUACAUAUAUAUACACUUAUGAGCAUGCUAUAUUCUAGGGAAUACAUAACUAUUAACCAAAAUAAACUCAAAUGUUAAGAGGAAAUAUGCCGUAUAAUUAGCAAGUAAAAUAUCACGGGAUUGAGUCUAACCAACUCUAUUUAAUGAAAUCUAAUAAUGUUAUACAUGGAUAAAUACAAAAGUGCAAAGAGAACUAUGUUGCCAAGCAAAGACACCACAUGGGUAAUUGAGACAGGUGNNN